rnacentral:rRNA from 1 species
GACGAACGCUGGCGGCGUGCCUAACACAUGCAAGUCAACUUGACUGAAGGAGCAAUCUGACAGUAGAGUGGCGCAAGGGUGCGUAACGCGUAAGUAACUUGCCCCAAGGUAAGGAAUAACGUCGAGAAAUCGGCGCUAAUACCUCAUAAUGCAGCGGAUCCGCAUGGAUAUGUUGUUAAAGGUUUACCGCCUUGGGAUAGGCUUGCGUCUGAUUAGUUAGUUGGUGUGGUAACGGCACACCAAGGCUACGAUCAGUAACUGGUCUGAGAGGAUGAUCAGUCACACUGGAACUGAGACACGGUCCAGACUCCUACGGGAGGCAGCAGUGAGGAAUAUUGGGCAAUGCUCGAAAGAGUGACCCAGCAACGCCGCGUGGAGGAUGAAGGUAUUCUAUAUCGUAAACUCCUGUGAGAGCAGACGAAAGACAGAUUAUAAUCUGGAUGACUGUAUGCUCAGAGGAAGCCCCC